rnacentral:rRNA from 1 species
CUCUUGUUAAUUGCAGAGUAAUACUUGAUUUUACUGUAGUCUAUAUGAUUACGGCGUAAUAAAGCAAUUUAUUACAAAGGAAUAGCUUUUUGAGAAGAAGGUUAAUUGAGAAUUGAUGAAACUUAAAUGUUUUUACAAGUAACUGUUUUAAAUAUCUGACCUAUCAACUUGAAGGUAGAUAGAGGCAUACCCAAGUGAUAACGGGUAACGAGAAAUAAGGGUUUGAUUUCGGAGAGGGAGCUUUAAAAAUGGCUACCACUUCUAAGGAAGGCAGCAGGCGCGCAAAUUACCCACUUUUAAUUUAGAGAGGUAGUGACGAUAAUU